rnacentral:lncRNA from 1 species
UGAGAGUCAUUUUCGAGUGUGUUGUUAUUGGUGUUUGAAGAAUUAAGUAAUAAUGAUUCAAUCCAACAAAAAUGUUUGUCAAAGGUUUUUAUUUAUAAUCUAACUACAACUAACUAUUAUAAGAUUUUGACACAUAUACAACAAAUUCAUGAUUGCCUAAAUUUAAUGGCUCCAAAUGUUUUCACAUAAUCAUUUUCAUCAACCACUGUAGCUGCUUUUCGAAUUUGAA